AGCCCUUCUAGAUCGAUAAUAGAAUCAGCUUAGCAGUGGCAGGUGCCUAUUCUACAAAAAAAAGUUUUAGUCCAAUUGUCCUUGAGUUGUAGUCUUUCAAAUCUCUAUAAUCAUCUAGUAGUUAAAAAGAAGCAAGGUCCCUUGAUGCUUAAGUAAAGAUCGACCUUCCUAUAGAAAGAACAAGGAAAAUCCUUAUACAAAUUAAUACCUAAACACAAAUAAUGGGACUAAUAAUUCACAUAUUGAAGUUGAUAAAAGAUAUGGUAUAUUAUGUAGCGGUAUUCCGAUGCAUUAUAUAUAUAUAUAUAUAUAUGUUGGAUUACGGAUCAUGGGUCGCCUAUAUGGACCGACCCAAUUCGACCCACAAAAUUUUCUUUUUAUUUGAAGAAAGAAGAACAGACUAUAAUUUUAAAAUUUUGGGGGGAACAAUUACAAAAUAAAACUGCUCAACAUCCCCUUAUAAACUUCAAUAUGUACUUCUUCUGCAGAGAGAAAGUGACGAAAACAAAACACAAAAAGAAAGAAAAUUGUAGUGACGAAUAAAGGCAUUUAGUCUGUGAUUCUAAAGCUUUGUUUCCAAGAGAUUCAAAGUAGACUUGGGGCAGAUCCUUUUGAAAGUAAAAUCGAUUUCGCUGUCAAUUAAAGGUACACUAUUUUGCUCCGAAUUUUACUAUAAUGGUAUCAGAGACAGAUUUAAAAUGCUCCGUCUUUGAAUAGUAAAUUAUUGAUACAGUGAGAAAAAUUCUUGAAAUUAAUUGAAUGAUAAUUUCUUAAUACAAUGAGAAAAUUUCUUGAAAUGAAUUGUUAGGAAACUUGAAAAAACCUGUUGGAGAGUAUAAAUGGCCAGAACUGGAUCGGGAAAUAUGAAUCCGAUACAAAUUGAAAUUUUUGUCCCUGAUUUGUGGCGAGUUGCGAAAAAUAUAUAAGUUGUGUUUCAAAUUUAUUUAUUUUUUUCCUUCGUUCCUUCAUAGAUCUAUCAAUGGAGUUUGUAUUAUGAAAAAAAAGGGAGGAACUUGUGAAAGAAAUAGAUCUGUAAA
rnacentral:lncRNA from 1 species